GUGAGGCAGGUGCUGGACCCAGACUGGGGGCGAGGCUUGGAGUUUCCGGUGGGGAUUGGCAGGGCCACUCACGGGAGCCUGAUGAUGCCACUGUGGGUCUGAUGGGGAAUGUGUCUUUUUGAGGAAAAGGCCUUGAUGUAGUAGUUGGCCCCAUGUCACCAGGUGGCACCUCUGGCUGGUGUCUGCAAGCCCUUUAGCCCCAGCCUAAUGUGUGUCGAGUUUCUAGUCUCUCCUGAUGGCACCUGUGCAUCUCCCAUGCGAUAAAUGUCCCCCCGCCCACCUUU